rnacentral:rRNA from 1 species
GGUUACUGCUAUCGGUGUUCGCCUAAGCCAUGCGAGUCAUAUGUUCGUAAGAACAUGGCGUACUGCUCAGUAACACGUGGAUAGCCUGCCCUUGGGUCCGGCAUAACCCCGGGAAACUGGGGAUAAUUCCGGAUAACGCACAUAUGCUGGAAUGCUUUAUGCGUAAAAUGGAUUCGUCUGCCCAAGGAUGGGUCUGCGGCCUAUCAGGUAGUAGUGGGUGUAAUGUACCUACUAGCCUACGACGGGUACGGGUUGUGAGAGCAAGAGCCCGGAGAUGGAUUCUGAGACAUGAAUCCAGGCCCUACGGGGCGCAGCAGGCGCGAAAACUUUACAAUGCGGGAAACCGUGAUAAGGGGACACCGAGUGCCAGCAUCCUAUGCUGGCUGUCCGGGUGUGUAAAAUACACCUGUUAGCAAGGGCCGGGCAAGACCGGUGCCAGCCGCCGCGGUAACACCGGCGGCCCGAGUGGUGAUCGUGAUUAUUGGGUCUAAAGGGUCCGUAGCCGGUUUGGUCAGUCCUCCGGGAAAUCUGACAGCUUAACUGUUAGGCUUUCGGAGGAUACUGCCAGACUUGGAACCGGGAGAGGUAAGAGGUACUACAGGGGUAGGAGUGAAAUCUUGUAAUCCCUGUGGGACCACCUGUGGCGAAGGCGUCUUACCAGAACGGGUUCGACGGUGAGGGACGAUAGCUGGGGGCACGAACCGGAUUAGAUACCCGGGUAGUCCCAGCCGUAAACGAUGCUCGCUAGGUGUCAGGCAUGGCGCGACCGUGUCUGGUGCCGCAGGGAAGCCGUGAAGCGAGCCACCUGGGAAGUACGGCCGCA